GAACCUGCUGAAGGAUAUUA
rnacentral:rRNA from 1 species